rfam:Felis catus breed Abyssinian Contig199197.1, whole genome shotgun sequence. [26-MAY-2016]
GCCUGGGUGGCUCAGUCAAUUAAGCGUCUGACUUCGGCUCAGGUCACGAUCUCACGGUCCGUGGGUUCGAGCCCCGCGUCGGGCU